rnacentral:rRNA from 1 species
UACGUAGGGUGCGAGCGUUUGUCCGGAAUUACUGGGCGUAAAGAGCUCGUAGGUGGUUUGUCGCGUUGUCCGUGAAAACUCACAACUCAAUUGUGGGCGUGCGGGCGAUACGGGCAGACUGGAGUACUGCAGGGGAGACUGGAAUUCCUGGUGUAGCGGUGGAAUGCGCAGAUAUCAGGAGGAACACCGGUGGCGAAGGCGGGUCUCUGGGCAGUAACUGACGCUGAGGAGCGAAAGCGUGGGGGAGCGAACAGG